rnacentral:rRNA from 1 species
GAAAGCACAAAGGGCACAUGGUGGAUGCCUACGCACCAGACGGCGAUGAAGGACGUGGCGAACUGCGAUAUGCCUCGGUGAGCUGUAAGCGAGCUUAGACCCGGGGAUUUCCGAAUGGGGCAACCCGGCAGGUUGAAGACCUGUCAUUCCGCAAGGAAGGCGAACGGCGUGAACUGAAACAUCUUAGUAGCGCCAGGAAGAGAAAGUAACAACGAUUCCCUAAGUAGCGGCGAGCGAACGGGGACUAGCCUAAACCGGCUUCGGCCGGGGUAGUGGGACAGCGAUGUCUCGAUUAAACUCAUAGACGAACCGAUCUGGAAAGUUCGACCGAAGGGGGUGAAAGUCCCGUAGUCGAAAUGGGUUUAAAAGAGUAGCUGCAUCCCGAGUAGCCCGGGGCACGAGAAAUCCUGGGUGAAUCCGCGAGGACCAUCUCGUAAGGCUAAAUACGUUUGGUGACUGAUAGCGUAGCAGUACCGUGAGGGAAAGGUGAAAAGCACCCCGGGAGGGGAGUGAAAUAGAACCUGAAACCGUGUGCCUACAAGCGGUCAGAGCAGAGCUUCGGCUUUGUGAUGGCGUGCCUUUUGCAUAAUGAGCCAACGAGUUAAUGUCAUAAGCGAGGUUAAGUAUUACAGAUACGAAGCCGUAGCGAAAGCGAGUCUUAACAGGGCGUAAAGUUUAUGGUAUUAGACCCGAAACCAGGUGAUCUACCCAUGGUCAGGUUGAAGGUUGGGUAAAACCAACUGGAGGACCGCACCAACCGUCGUUGAAAAGGCGGUGGAUGAACUGUGGGUAGGGGUGAAAGGCCAAACAAACCUGGAGAUAGCUGGUUCUCUCCGAAACAUAUUUAGGUAUGGCCUCAGGAUUAGAUUAAUGGAGGUAGAGCACUGAAUGGGCUAGGGGGCACACACGCUUACUGAACCCAAUCAAACUCCGAAUGCCAUUAAUUAUUUCCUGGGAGACAGGGCGUGAGGGAUAAGCUUCACGUGCGAGAGGGGAACAACCCAGACUGUCAGCUAAGGCCCCCAAAUAGAUGCUUAGUGCGUAAGGAUGUUCAAUUGCCCAGACAGCCAGGAUCUUGGCUUAGAAGCAGCCACGAUUUAAAGAGUGCGUAACAGCUCACUGGUCGAGUGGUAGAGCACCGAAGAUGAUCGGGACUAAGAAGCAUCUUGCCGAAGCUGCGGAACAGCGCUGAUUUAAUGCGUUUUGAUGAUAAGCGGGAGAUCAUAUUGCGAGCUGAUAAGCGAGCAAGCAUUUCCCCCGACUAUGAAGCAUCAUGCCGGAAAUGCAUGAAUAGCGAUCAUAGAGACGUAUCUUGCCGAAGGGCAAGGUGGCCAAGGAUGAUUUUCCGAAGGCAAAAUCAUUAUUAGACGUAUUAAAUCAGCGCUGUUGGUAGGAGAGCAUUGUGAACGGCGUAGAAGGUGAAUCGUAAGGUUUGCUGGAGCGUUCACAAGAGACCAUGUUGGCAUGAGUAACGAUAAUGCGGGCGAGAAACCCGCACACCACAAGCCCGAGGAUUCCUGAGUAAAGUUAAUCUUCUCAGGGUUAGUCGGCCCCUAAGGUAUAGCGAUAAGGCGAAGCUGAUGGGAAUCAGGUUAAUAUUCCUGAACCUGUGUAUGCAGUGAUGGAGUGACGCAAUGGUGCAGUGAGGACAGCUGUUGGAUUAGCUGUUGAAUGUGUGUAGGAGGUAAUACAGGCAAAUCCGUAUUACACUACUCCGAGGCACAGGACGACGCGUAAGCGACAAAGCUCACCUACAGACAUUGCCUAGAAAUAGCUUCUAAACUUAUGUAUAUACAGACCGUACCGCAAACCGACUCAGGUGGGCGAGGAGAGUAUCCUAAGGUGUUCGAGAGAACUCUGGUUAAGGAACUAGGCAAAAUAACCCCGUAACUUCGGGAGAAGGGGUACCCCAUUAUCGUGACCGGCUUGCGCCGUGAGCGAGAAGGGGUCGCAGUGAAGAGGCCCAAGCGACUGUUUAUCAAAAACACAGGUCUAUGCGAAGGCGAAAGCCACGGUAUAUAGACUGACACCUGCCCGGUGCCGGAAGGUUAAAUGGAGAGGUCAGCCUGCACUAAGUUUAUCAAUCACGAAGAGAUUGGUGAAUUUAGUGCAGGCGAAGCUUCGAAAUGAAGCCCCGGUAAACGGCGGCCGUAACUAUAACGGUCCUAAGGUAGCGAAAUUCCUUGUCGGGU